GCCUCGGUGGUGUAGUCCGGCCAAGCAUAAGGGGCUCUCGACCCCUUGACCCGGGUAGCCGUUUGAGGCUGAGGGAAUUCAAAUCCCGGCCGAGGCA
rnacentral:tRNA from 1 species